GCCAGCGUUGCACAGUGGUUUGUAUGUUGGACUAGGACUCUGGAGAACAGGGUUCAAAUCCCCACUUGGCC